AAGGUCCUUUCAGAGGAAGACUGAAGAAGAUGAUGCUGGUUGGGUGAGGUCCAGGAAGUUAAAGGAGAAGAGAUGCUUUAGGUGAAGCCAUUUUCAGCUCGUCUCUUCCAGCCUUUCAGCAGAGCCAUCACUCCUCUUCGAGGAUACAUGACUGAGAGAUGUGAUAGCCUGCCCUGAGGCAUUGCCAGAGGCAAAGACCGAAACACUUCUCCAACGCUCAACGUUUAAUCCACUACUUUCAAAAAAGAAAUCUAGCUUCCAAGUUCCAAAUGCUGUGGAAUAACCCAGGGACAUCAACUUACAAUAUUACAAAUACAACUGUGGGACAGCUCAAAUAUUCGACAGUCUUGGAAACAAUAAAAUGGGUUUCUGUAUCACCCAAUACCAGUGACAUAUAUAUUAAAGCAACCACCAUAAAGUGCUUACUGUAACUUCAUGACUGAAAACAGCAAUAGCAGGUUUUGUCUCUGGAAACACUCUUCAUUGGUUUCUGGAAAGUUAAAAAGCAUUAAGAUUAAAUCUUUAUAACAUUUUUUUUUUUCAAAUGGUACAAACACUGAAGGCUUUGGAAAUUCAAAAAUUUUUAAGACUUUUCUUAAUUCUGAAUAACCAGACAUCCAAAAUUUAACACCACAUGGUUAUGAAAAAUCCACAUCUGAUAUAGUUUUCCCUGUAGUAGUGCCUCCAGCUACAAUCCCAACAAUGAAAAACUAUCAAGAUUAACAAUCCAAACAUGUUUCCUAGACAGUCUGGUCAUCCAUAAUUGUUGGAAGCAGCCACUUCUCUUCACUGCCAAAAUUUUGUCUAUCAUUUGUUGCCUGAUACUCCUGGAGGGACUUAUCAGCGUUUAUUAAAUAAUUUGAAUCUGCUUGGUAAAGUUUCC